rnacentral:misc_RNA from 1 species
GAUGAAGAACGCAGUGAAAUGCGAUAAGUAGUGUGAAUUGCAGAAUUCAGUGAAUCAUCGAAUCUUUGAACGCACAUUGCGCCCCUUGGUAUUCCAUGGGGCAUGCCUGUUCGAGCGUCAUUUGUACCUUCAAGCUCUGCUUGGUGUUGGGUGUUUGUCCUUGCUCUAGUGGCGGGACUCGCCUUAAAGUAAUUGGCAGCCAGUGUUUUGGUUUUGAAGCGCAGCACAAGUCGCGAUUCAAGUCUAUACGCUAGUUUCCACAAGUCUUUUAUCACUUUUGACCUCGGAUCAGGUAGGGAUACCGCUGAACUUAAGCAUAUCAAUAAGCGGAGGA